GGUCACUAUUGCUAGAUGGUUAUAUCGAUUGGUAUAGAAAGUUAUUUCUAUACUACCAACUUUGGUUUGAACAUAUGGGGUCACAUGUAUUAGAAGAUUUGAUCAGAUCUGAUGGCUAAAGAGUCCAAUUGGAUUGUGACUUUGGUGACGAGUCCUACUAGGACUGAAACUCUUGGGGAAAGUUCCACUGAGACUAGGACUCUAUUAUUUAUAAAAAAUUAAUUAGUAAUUAGAUUACUAAUUAAUUCAAUUUGAUUGAGUAAAGAGCUUUGGAACAAGUCU
rnacentral:lncRNA from 1 species